rnacentral:rRNA from 1 species
UAUCUCUGUAGAGUCUGCAUAUCAAUAAGCGGAGGAAAAGAAACUAACUAAGGAUUCCCUUAGUAACGGCGAGUGAAGCGGGAAGAGCUCAAAUUUGAAAUCUUCAAGGUUCUACCUUGACGAAUUGUAGUUUAAAGAAGUGUUUUCUGUUAGAUGAGUAGCAAAAGUUCCUUGGAAUGGGACAUCAUAGGAGGGUGAGAAUCCCGUAUUUGGUUAUUCAUUCUAGCUUUGUGAUACACUUUCAAAGAGUCGGAUUGUUUGGGAAUGCAGUCCAAAAUGGGUGGUAAAUUUCAUCUAAAGCUAAAUAUUGGCGAGAGACCGAUAGCGAACAAGUACCGUGAGGGAAAGAUGAAAAGAACUUUGAAAAGAGAGUUAAACAGUACGUGAAAUUGUCAAAAGGGAAGCGUUUGACACCAGUGUUGUUUUUCCGAAAAUCAAUUACGAAUGGCUUGAUUCUGUGUUGUAUUGACCUUAUCAGCUUUCUUCACUUUUUUCGAGUCUUUCUUAAUGCACUUUUCGGUUAACAAGUCAACAUCAAUUUCUUUUGUUGUAAAAGGAGUAUUCGGAAGGUGGCUUUCUUUUCGGAGAAAGUGUUUAUAGCCCUAUACUUCUACAAUCGGAGAGAUUGAGGUCUGCAGCGUAGAUCCUUCGGGGUUAGAUACACUUGUGCUAAGUUGUAGCUUUUCAUAGACAACUUGUUGACUAUGUUUAGUCAUGCGGCUUACUCGCUUGUGCUAUUUUACCUACGCUUAGGAUGUUGACGAGACUGUCGAUCUC